CGGACGUACCGGGGUAAUGGGGGGGAAACGUUCGGAACGGACGCUAAUACCGCAUACGUCCUACGGGAGAAAGCAGCUGUGACCUUCGGGCCUUGCGCUAUCAGAUGAGCCUAGGUCGGAUUAGCUAGUUGGUGAGGUAAUGGCUCACCAAGGCUACGAUCCGUAACUGGUCUGAGAGGAUGAUCAGUCACACUGGAACUGAGACACGGUCCAGACUCCUACGGGAGGCGGCAGUGGGGAAUAUUGGACAAUGGGCGAAAGCCUGAUCCAGCCAUGCCGCGUGUGUGAAGAAGGUCUUCGGAUUGUAAAGCACUUUAAGUUGGGAGGAAGGGCAUUAACCUAAUACGUUAGUGUUUUGACGUUACCGACAGAAUAAGCACCGGCUAACUCUGUGCCAGCAGCCGCGGUAAUACAGAGGGUGCAAGCGUUAAUCGGAAUUACUGGGCGUAAAGCGCGCGUAGGUGGUUUGUUAAGUUGAAUGUGAAAUCCCCGGGCUCAACCUGGGAACUGCAUCCAAAACUGGCAAAGCUAGAGUAUGGUAGAGGGUAGUGGAAUUUUCCUGUGUAGCGGUGAAAUGCGUAUAUAUAGGAAGGAACACCAGUGGCGAAGGCGACUACCUGGACUGAUACUGACACUGAGGUGCGAAAGCGUGGGGAGCAAACAGGAUUAGAUACCCUGGGUAGUCCACGCCCGUAACGAUGUCAACUAGCCCGUUGGGAGUCUUUGAACUCUUAGUUGCCGCAGCUAACGCAUUUAAGUUGACCGCCUUGGGGAGUACUGGCCCGCCAAGGUUUAAAACCUCAAAUGAAUUUGACGGGGGCCCCGCAACAAGCGGUGGAAGCAUGUGGGUUUUAAAUUCGAAGCAACGCCGAGAACCCUUUACCCAGGCCCUUGGACAUCCAAUGACCUUUUCUAGAAGAAUAGAAUUGAGUGCCUUUCCGGAACCAUUUGAAGAACAGGGUGCUGAGCAUAU
rnacentral:rRNA from 1 species